CCUGGAGGCGUUCCCCCACUUCCUGGGCAAAUUCGUCACGGCCACAGACCCCGGGGAUCGUUCCCUGUGGCCUCUGCCGCGAUUAGUCCCGCUGCUCAGCCCGUCUCCCCGUAGAAGCGCACGGGCGGUUUCCACGGCCUCACCUCGCUGUCAGCAGCUUGCAGAUUGUGGAAACGAUCCUCACAGCUAGAUGGCAACAAAAGAAUUCCACUGGACUUCCUACAGUAAAAAAAUUGUAGGGGUUGGAAGGGACCUCUAGAGACCAUCGGGUCCAACCCCCCUGUAAAGCAGGCCCCCUACAGCAGGCUGCACAGGUCAUGCUAUUCUCAUGAAGAGGUCCCUGCCAACCUUAACUCUUCUGUGAUGCUGUAAUUCUCAAGGAGUUGGGAAAAGGAGAAGAAGCGUUUUUCCUUCUGAUGCUAAAACCACCAGUUUGCCUUCAGAAGUGUCUGCAUCAAGAUUCCAGUGAUCCAAACACUAUUGUCAUCUUGAGAAAGAUAUUUUUGCUUGUCUUGUUAACUUCAUCUUUGCUAAGAGGAAAUUCCUCAUAUUAGCAGGUAUUCUUCAGAGCAGUCAUUCUAGACUACGUUUCCCCAGAUCCUCAGAAAUUGGUUGCACAGGAGAUCUGACCCAUGCUACACUCCUAAAUGCAACUGUGAACUCUUAAAAAAGGGCACAGUGUAGCUUGGUUUCUCAUUGCCAGUUGAUUUCCUGAGACACUUCCUGAGCUUCUCAUUUUGCAUCAUGUUGUCUACUGGAGUAACACUUCUGUCCCCUCCUUAAUACAGUCACACACUGCAACAGUGAGCUUAAUUUUUAACACAAUUCUGUAAGUCUAAAAAUUAUGUUCUACCAUAUAAUCUAAUUGAGAACAUGGGUUAUUUCUAUUUGCAUUGCAAUGAGGCAUUGCAUUCCAGGGGAUCUAAGAGAAUAUAACAGUAAGGUUUUAUAUAAAUAGUCAGUGAUUAAAUAUCAUCAGUGGGAAUAAGCAACAAAACCUUUCACUACAUGGAAAUCCAGAUUCUUGUAAAUACCAUUACAAGAGAAAUAACAAGAGGUUUUACUUCACGAAGCAGCAGUAGCUGCUUCUGAAUUAACAUUAUAAAUACUUGGCUAUAAUCAGACAAAUAUUCAAUCCUGCUCUACAUGAAGUCAUCUGCCAGCCAUGUAUGCUCUUCCAAAAAGCAGCUAGCCCCAUAAAUUUUCAGAUGCCACAUUACACUCUAAUGGAAACCCAGAGAGGGAAAAAAAAAGGGAUUUUUCAAGCUCUAUUUUAAUUUGAUGGUCAGUGAAGAACUUGUAGGACUUGAGACAUAAAAUCCUCAUACAACUUCUCUCUCCCUAUAUCACAUAUCUCCUAAGGAAGCAAGUUAACAGUCACUCAGAAUGGGAUAGUCCAUGGCUAGAAGAAUCCUCACUGGAUAUAACAUAAAAUUAUGUGAUAAUUUUUGGAAAGCAUGUACAGAAUUCUUAGUUUACUUAGAAUUAUAGAAUCCUUAGAGUUGGAAGGGACUUUUAAAGGCCAUCUAGUCCAACUCCUCUGCAAUGAGCAGGGACAUGCACAGCUACAUCAGGUUGCCCAGGGCCUGGGCCAGCCUGGCCUUGAAAGUCUCCAGGGACGGGGCAUCAAGCAGAUCUCUGGGCAACCUGUGCCAGUGCCUCACCGCCCCCACUGUAAAAAUUUUCUCCUUUUAUCUAACCUAGAUCUACCCUCUUUUAAGCUUGAAGCCAUUUCCCCUCGUUCUAUUACCAUAGACACUACUAAAGAGUCUGUCCCCUUCUUUCUUGUAGCUCCCUUUUAGAUACUGAAUGGUCACUACUAGGUCACCACACCUGGAGAAGAGGCUCUCUUGUCCAGGAUGAACAGCCCUUGCUCUCUCAGCCUGUUCCAUCCCUUGGAUCAUUUCUGUGGCCCUGCUCUGGAUGUGCUCCAAGAAGUUCAUGUCUCUCCUGUACUGGGGACUCCACAUCUGGAUGCAGUGCUCCAGUUGAGGCCUCACCACUGCAGAGCAGAGCGGCAGGAUCACCUCCCUCACCCUGCUGGCCAGUCUUCUCUUGAUGCAGCCCACAAUACGGUUGGCUUUCUGGACUGUGAGGGCACUGCUGGUUCAUGUCCAGCUUAUCAUCCACCAGUACCCCAGGUCUUUUUCAACAGGGCUGUUCUCAAUCCUUUUAUCCCCCAGCUUGUAUUGGUAGUGGUGUACCAUGUUAGUGGUGAGAACAUGCAGACCCAAGACCAGGCUAGGUUCAAUCCAAAGUAAUCCCAGCAAACCACAGAUUUGAAGUCUUAGCACCAAAUGUUUUCAUCUGCUGCUUGAUUUUUGUUGCAUUAAAUUACUUGCAAUAUAGACACAGCCUCACUGGAGUGAAAGAGAAUUGUAACUGAAGUGUACGGGUACAAGCCUGUAGUACAUUAGCAUGUAUUCCAAUAGUCAAAAAUCUUUUAGAGUUCAUACUGAGUUCAAGCUGAGAACUCAAAUGUUUGUCCACAUCAUAUGCCAGUGCUCAUUUUCAAACUACGUGAAAUUCUAGCAAUUAAAGAGAAAUCCUGCAUAUACACUGAACUGAUUCUUAAAUGUUCUGCAAGCACUUAUAAAGCUACUGCUGUGAUGGAUGUAACGGCUUUCAAUCUAUUAAAGGCUGAUGUUUCUGUGA